rnacentral:rRNA from 1 species
UAAGAGAGCCAUGCUACCCUGAACAAGCCCAAUCUUGUCUGAUCUUGGAAGCUAAGCAGGGUCAGGCCUGGUUAGUACUUGUAUGGGAGACCACCUAGGAAGACCAGGUGCUGUAGGCA